ACGAACCCUUCAUAGGAAAAGAUGGAGUUUCUGGUGUGCUUCUUCAUCACAAGCAAGUGUUCAACCCUUGAUAGCUCUAUUAUGAAGAUUGGACCUCAAAAGAUAACCCUCCAGUCACUUUUGCUAUAGCUGCUUGUGAGACUCAGAAUGUGAAUGUGACUGUUUUGCCAUGUUUUGGACUCUCGGAUGCGAGUCGAAUCACAGCCAAAGAUAUGUGGGAUACAGUGGUAAAG